AAAGUAAAGCGAGUGCAAGGAAAUAAACAAAAGUAAAGCGAGUGCGAGGAAAUAAAUAAUUUAAAGCGAGUGCGAGGAAAUAAAUAAUUUUAAGCGAGUGCGAGGAAAUAAAUAAGAUAAAGCGAGUGCGAGGAAAUAAAUAAUUUAAAGAGAGUGCAAGGAAAUAAAUAAGAUAAAGACAAGUAAUAAAAACUUGCUCCAAUUG
rnacentral:lncRNA from 1 species